rnacentral:rRNA from 1 species
UCAUUAAGUUGGGCACUCUAAGUUGACUGCCGGUGACAAACCGGAGGAAGGUGGGGAUGACGUCAAAUCAUCAUGCCCCUUAUGAUUUGGGCUACACACGUGCUACAAUGGACAAUACAAAGGGCAGCGAAACCGCGAGGUCAAGCAAAUCCCAUAAAGUUGUUCUCAGUUCGGAUUGUAGUCUGCAACUCGACUACAUGAAGCUGGAAUCGCUAGUAAUCGUAGAUCAGCAUGCUACGGUGAAUACGUUCCCGGGUCUUGUACACACCGCCCGUCACACCACGAGAGUUUGUAACACCCGAAGCCGGUGGAGUAACCUUUUAGGAGCUAGCCGUCGAAGGUGGGACAAAUGAUUGGGGUGAAGUCGUAACAAGGUAGCCGUAUCGGAAGGUGCGGCUGGAUCACCUCCUUU